AGUGAACGCUGGCGGUAGGCCUAACACAUGCAAGUCGAACGGCAGCACAGGAGAGCUUGCUCUCUGGGUGGCGAGUGGCGGACGGGUGAGGAAUACAUCGGAAUCUACUCUGUCGUGGGGGAUAACGUAGGGAAACUUACGCUAAUACCGCAUACGACCUACGGGUGAAAGCAGGGGACCUUCGGGCCUUGCGCGAUUGAAUGAGCCGAUGUCGGAUUAGCUAGUUGGCGGGGUAAAGGCCCACCAAGGCGACGAUCCGUAGCUGGUCUGAUAGGAUGAUCAGCCACACGGAAACUGAGACACGGUCCAGACUCCUACGGGAGGCAGCAUUGGGGAAUAUUGGACAAUGGGCGCAAGCCUGAUCCAGCCAGACCGCGUGGGUGAAGAAGGCCUUCGGGUUGUAAAGCCCUUUUGUUGGGAAAGAAAUCCAGCUGGCUAAUACCCGGUUGGGAUGACGGUACCCAAAGAAUAAGCACCGGCUAACUUCGUGCCAGCCGCCGCGGUAA
rnacentral:rRNA from 1 species